rnacentral:rRNA from 1 species
ACCCCACUAUGCCUGGCCGUAAACUUUAACUUACACCUUAAUCGUCAGGGAACUACGAGCAAAGCUUAAAACCCAAAGGACUUGACGGUGCCCCAUAUCCCCCUAGAGGAGCCUGUCCUAUAAUCGAUAAUCCCCGCUUAACCUCACCACAUCUAGCCUACCAGUCUGUAUACUUCCGUCGCAAGCCUACCACAUGAGCGAUACUUAGUUAGCCCAACGUCCACACAUAAAUGUGUCUACAUCGACAAUACGUCAGGUCAAAGUGCAGCAAACGAUGUGGGAUGAGAUUGGCUACACUUUUUAAUUUAAAAGAAACGGAAGGCAAUAAUGAAACUUUGUCAGAAGGUGGAUUUAGCAGUAAAAGGAAAAUAUAAAAUUUCUUUUAACUCGGCACUGGGGUGUGUACACACCGCCCGUCACCCUCUUCAAAAAUCUCAGACCAGUACUUAACCCACUACCAAAAAUAAAGAAGAGGCAAGUCGUAACAUGGUAAGCGUACCGGAAGGUGUGCUUGGAAA